rnacentral:lncRNA from 1 species
CCCCUCCCCACGGGCUCCUCAGGAAAUGACGUCCCGCCCGGUGCGCCUGGCCGUUGCCUGGAGACGGGGUGAAACAGUCCAGCCCCAGGGAAGAAAGGGGUGAACGCGGCGGUAGGGGUGGGAGGAGCCCCCGCGUCCCCUACCCCGCCGGCAGAGCCGGGAGCGGGGCUCAGAAACAGCGCUCUUCGGCGGUCGCAGCGAGUGCCGACACCAGGAUCGCUUUGGAGUAAUUAGCCGGCUAGCUAAUUCACAAUUCGGGGGGAAAUCGUCAAGUUUUUUGUUUGUUUGAUUUUUGCUUCCAAAAUACUGGGCACUUCAGUCUCGGUUUUCUUCCUUACAAUGUGGCGCUCCCCUCCUGCACGCGCCCUGACAUGACAAAUUCCAGGGUUUAUGUGGACGGUCGUUGGCCACCUACUGUGUGCGAGAGACGAAUACAAGCAUAGACUGCUGUCUGCCGGAGUCAACUCCGUGGCAGGGAUGGAUCAGGCUGGACCCCUUCCCAGUCUCCAUUGCAAGGGAAAAGCCACUUUCAGAAAUAUUAUAUAAAGUGUACACCCCACGCUCGCGCACACACGUACAAAUGAGCGCAUAUAAAACUGGUGAAAUCUGAGUAAGGUGGGUGGAUUUUAUCAAUGUCAAUGUCCUGGUUGCCAUCGUGUCAACAUCGGGGGAAACUGGGUGAAGGGUACAUGGCAUGUCUAUGUAUUAUUUCUUAGAACUGCAUUUGGAUCUACAAUCUCAAAAUAGAAAUUAAAAAUAUACAUAUUUGAAGUGGCUUGGAGAAAAAUCUCUUCUAUGCUCUCCCAUCCCUAGGCAAAAUGGGAAGAUACACCCAGGUGUGCCCUGGAGUCGGUCGUCACCCACCCAAUCCCCCAAAUAAGAUUUAAG